AUGUAGAGAGUGGUGUCCCAUCACAAAUUCAUGCAGAUUCACUUUGACAAACUCACACUUGGUCCUUUGAUCUGCCCUGUCCCCAAUGAUACACACCUGUAACUCCCCUAUUCACCCACCCCAAACGUACAUUUUGUGGUCACUCUUUUCUUCCCAUUUUAUUUGUGAAUUGUGAUAUUUCCAAAGGCACGUUUCCUGAAUCUAAUUGGAAAACGAGGGAUAACAUGUUUGGAACAUUUCUCACCUCUCUUUUUAGACUGGUAAAAUACCAGCCAAAUGGCAUCAAAUAAUUAAUGAUUGAAAGAUACAGCAUGGAAAAGGUCCUUUGGCCCACCUUGUCCACGCUGACUAUCGAUCAUCCGUUCAAACUAAUUCCAUCUUAUCCCACUUUUGCAUCUACUCCCAACAUUCCGGGUCAAUUUAUAGUGGCCAAUUAACUUUUAGGAUUUUGGGAGGAAAUCGGAGCACCUGCGGGAAACCUAUACAGUCACAGGAAGAAUGUGAAACUCCAGGCAGCACCUGAGGUCAGGAUCAAAUACAGAUCUCUGGCCAUGUGAGGCAGCAACUCUACCAGCCAUGCCACUGCGCCUCAGUUCCUAAAGUUACAUUAGCACUGCCAUCUUAACAGAAGCCACGAAGGAAUCAAGACCACUAAACCCUGGUUGUUGCUACUGUAGUCUCUGUGGACACUUUGACCUCACAAAUAUGUCAGCUUCAAAGUCUGGCCAGCAUCCAACUUGUUUCCCACCUUUGAACUCUGUAUUUACUUUAGGAUCUGGGCAUUGCAGACAAGGCCACAAUUUAUUGGUCAUCCCCAGUGACAUUAAAUAAACGGCAUCUGUAUUUUUAAAUGACAGGUAUAAAAGUAAUUCCCUCCUUCUUAAAAAAAAGUUGUCAUCUUUUAAAACUUACACUAAUAAAUCUCAAUGUAUAAUUCCUCUGUGGAUCUCUCUUCAAGGAAAUAAUAAGCGAGGUUGGCAAUUAUUUUUAAAAUAAUGUUUUGUAUUGUCAUUCACUGCAUAUAAGCUCCACCAUGCACAGGCACUCCAAAAUGAUCAAGGAUGUGAUUUAUACAAAAUAAAAUAAAUGUCUAGGCUUUGUGAUCAGCAUCUGUGCAUCUACUAAAAGAGCAUUACAAUCUCUAAUUUGUAUUCAUUAUUGAAAUUUAACAUUUGGUAACAUAAUAUUUCUAGGAAGUUAUGGCACAUAAUUACCACUGUAUUCCGCCCUAGGCCUCAUACCUAGUCCUCACUCAUGCACCAGUUUUCCACUCUCUAUACUCUAGCCUUCCUCUGCCCAGCACUUGUGACUCCAAGCAACAGUUUCUUCUAUCUUUCUUCAUCGUUAUUGGCAUAGAAGGUAAUUGUUGCAGUUAUCAGAUGAUUUGUGCCUCAGAUUUGGCCCCAGAUCCACAUGGAGUAUCAAGGGAAAAGGACAGAAAGAAAGAGAAAAGGAGAAAAAUGUUUCUGACAAGCUUAUGCAAUGGGAAGAAAAGGUUAAAAAGGCAUGUUGGGAAAUCAAGAAACAGAUAAAGAGUGUGAGAAGUUGCCUUCUAUUACUUCAGCAAUCCCUGAUCAACUCUGGUUUUAUAAGUUCUAUGGUGGAUAAUAGGGUCAAUGUAGGAACUGUAGACAGUUCUAUAUGUGGAUGGUGCAGGAGGUGGCUGAUAGGACAGCGAGGUGGGUAAUUGUGAAUGGCGCACUCCUUCGCCACUUACACAGGGUUUCCAUGUGUUAAUGAUGCAUGGAAGUUCUAAGUAUGUCCCCAUGUCUCUUCUCCACUGUGAUGGUCAUAGACCAGGCAUCCUUAAGAGUUAAACACAAAGGAAUGGAGAAACUCAGCUGGUGAAGCAAAAUCUGUGGAUGGAUAGACAAUGUUUCAAGUUCAAGUUACAUUUAUUGUCACAUACACCAAUUGGUGCAGUGAAAUUUGAGUUACCAUACAGCCACACAAAUAAAAUAAUGACCAUACAACCAUACAGCCGCACAAAUUCAAAUGGGGCCCUUAGUCAGACAGACCCAAAAUGUUGUAUUUUUGUUUCUUCCACAGAUGUUGCUUGACCCACUGAGUUUCUCCAGUGUUUUGUUGAAGUUUCCAACAUCUGCAGUUCCUUGUCUCUCCAUUCCCAAGGUUAGUGGAGAUGUUGCACUUCUUCAAGGAUGCUUUGAGCAGAUCCUUGGAUUUGCUGCACAGCUUGAAAUAGAGCGUCUGCUUUGGGAGUCUGGUGUUGAGCAUGUAAAUAAAUCUAUUUCAGCAUAGUGCUCCUGGCACCUCAUUUGAAGAUCUCCUGUCCCAAUAUCUAUAUUCAAAUAUUCACACAUUCAGGAUUUCCAUUGAAAUGGACCUCAAGUUUCAGGAUCAUAAAUUUUCAUGCAGUUAUAUCUCGUAAUUAGGAAAGUACAAUACAAUAAAUAUUAUAUAGUGUGUAUUUUUUGCAUUAAAAACAAAUGUCUUAAAUGCAAAUAGCAUUUAAAAAAUUGUGUCACCACAGCAAAAAUCAUAGAUAUUGACCUUCCCAACAUCCAAGGGAUCUACAGGAUGUGCUGCCUCGAGAAGCCAGCAAAUGUCAUUAAAGAUCCACACCGAUAGUGAUCCAUAUUUCUAAUCGAAAUAUAUUUGUAUUCUUAAUCAAUCCCAAGUAAUGGGGCAUCUUCAAUUCGAUUCCUACCCUUCUCUGUCCAUCCUUAUCUGCAACCACCCAUUUCCUUCCCAAAAGCCCCAUCUUCCCCAUUUGCCCAAACAUCAGCGGUAUUCAGCUCCAUCCUUAGGCAAUGUUAAACUUGCUCUUCAAUAAACACUCUCGAUCCAUUUCUUGACAUAUUACUUUUAUCUUAGUCACAGGUCUCUAUUUUAGCUCCCUGCAGGGGAAGAACACUCAGAAUAGCAGGGAGGGACAAAAAACGAGGCGGCCUUUCAAUCUACUCCUUCCAUCUGCAGAGGAGGCGAUUGAUGAUCAGAGAUGCUGCCUGACCUGCUGAGUAUUUUCAGGAGUUUCUGGUCAACUGGGCAGGGAGGCUGUUAGCUGGCCCUGUGGACCGGUGGACCAUAAGGUUGAUAUCAGGUUUUAAAUUUUGGUCUUUGAAAACACCUUUCCAAAGAAGGCCAAAUACUUUGUUGGAUGCUCUCCAGGUGGUAGUGAAUUCCGUCACUGUUUGGUUGAUAUUGCCAAGAUCAAAGAUGACUUUAUGAAGAUAGAAACACUCUUGUGACAACAACAGCGACGGCAAUGUAAAAAUCAGGCUGAGGAAACCCACACAUGUGAUAAAUAACUUUCUGGGACAAUAUUAUUUAGUGAAAAAUUAUGUGCUAAUAUUAUUCCAAAGAAGGAAUAUCAAAAUGCUGUUGUGGCUCAGAAAACUAGGCAUAAAUUUGAUAUAAACAAAGGGAAAUGAUUCAAUGUCUAAAGAAUAUGUGCUAAUAACAUAGUGAGUCAGCAUUACAUUCUGACUAUGUUGAAAACAAAAUGAGCAUUAUAGUUUUCAACAAUCUUUCCACAGUCUGUUUCCAGCCAUGGUGGGAACAGGCACAUAAAGUAGUUUAAAGAAUGUAUUGAAAUGGGGAAUUGGAGAAUGUUUUUUUUUCCAAUUAAUCCCACUAAUAUAUUAUAUGAAUAUACAUAUUCUGUUGUGCUGCUGCAAGUAAGAAUGUCAUUGUACUAUCUGGGACAUAUGGCAAUAAAACACUCUUAAUGCUUGAUAUGACCAACUGUUACUUAGGUUUUAAACAAAAUGUGUUAAAGUGAAAACUCUGGGAUGAGAACCCAUGAGAAACAACACCCGAGGGCCACUAGGUCUUCUUGGGUUAUUGAGCUUUGUAUUUGAUAAUUUAUACAUCCAGCUUGUUCUACUGCUGCACUUGGAUUGUCUAAAGGCAAUAAUUUCCAUUGUACGUAAAUACUGCAAUAAUCACAUUUAAUGUUUGCUGUUUAGGAUCGUCCAUGAUUCCAUGUCUUAACAUUAAAAAAAUUGGAAACCUG